GCUCCAAAAAAACUUUUGAAAAAGGACAACACCCAACACCCUCCAAAGGAACUGAAAGUCGGCGACGAGCAGGACGCCUACCUAGCGCAGAGGAACCAGGACUGAAAUGGGACAAAAAGAGGCCGUAUUGAGAAUAGCAGGGGCAAGUCUCUUCUGCGCCCACCUGGUCCGCAGACUGCAGGCUGGAGCUCAAGGCCCCUGGAGGGCUCACCUCCAGCAAAGCCAAGGACACCAACACCCCACGAAGAGAGAUCAGCUAAAGUCACUGGUUACUGUGGAAACCGCCCCCCACGGUACCCCCUGCGCCCGCUGCAGCCGCCUGCCUGCCCCCAGGCCCAAGGGCUCUCGGCUGUUGUGGGCCUCGUCCGGCUCCAGUCUCCCCCACCGUCACCCCCAGACACACCUGCCUGCUGGGGCCCGGGGCUCAGGCUGCUUUGCAAAACAAGGGGGAGAAAAACUGUUUCCCAAACUUGCCUCCAAGUCUGCCUUGGCCCCAAAGUCCAAGCAAAGUGAGCCGAGAAAGUGAAGAGAAAGCACACGGAGGCAGGCGGAAACAGGGUGAGCGGGGCGGACUCACGGCAGUGGUCCCCAAGAGCAAGCAAGCAGCGGGAGCUCGGAGUUACAGGCGCUGAGGCAGGGGGAGGGAGGGCGGGCGGGCGCGAUGGAGCCCUGCCGCCUGGUGCCAGCCCAGCGCCAGGAGGGGAGGCCCGCCUGCUGUCCCUUCCUCUGGCACCCCCUCCCGCCCUCUGCCAGCAGGGCUCUCUCGGCCUCCCUGGCACAGAGCAGCGGAGGGGGCUGGCUCCAGCCCCUGCUCGGAGCCAUUGUUUUUCUUCUCAACACCCCCAAGUUCAAGUUCAUCUGGGUGUUACAUCAUGUCUGGUUGCUCCUGGAAACCAGACGGGUCAGACGUGACUCUGGGGAAAGGGGGUGGGAAGCUGGAGGGGGUUGAAGUUCCCCUCCCCUCCCCUCCUUGCCACUAGGGAGCUCUGAAGUUUGAAGUUUGACAAAGUUUUUUGGCUUUUUUUUUUUUUUUUUUUUUUUUGAGGGAGGGAAAGGAAAAGGGAAAAAAAAACAAAACCUCAAACCACACACACAAAACUUGCAUCCACCGACUUUCUCUGGACUCAGGCCUCAGAGCAGUAAAGGAGCAGGAGCAGCAAGAGGUGGCCCUGGGGCUCUGGGCUGGGGUGGAUUUCCUGGGGUGGAGAAAGCCUCCAGGCCUUGGGCUCACAGGAUGGUGUUUUGGUAAAAUGCGCAAAAGAGAAAGAUUAUUUGCAUGUUCCUUUCCGAGAAGCCUGGGGCUUUGUCAAACGGGCCUCCACCCUGCUCCUGAGGUGGGUCCUCCCUGCACCCCAAGGCCCCAGGGCUCUGUGAGCUAGUCGCAGCCUCUGGGGGACAGGCACAGGGAGGAGGGGGCCCACGUGCGUGCGAGAGCACAGAUGCCUGGACAAAACCAGAUCCAGGGCAUUCCAGCAGGAGGGCUGGAGUUUUCCUUGUGAGAACUGGGGACGGGCGGGCGGGAGCUGGACUGGAGGUUCCAACAGCCCGGCCUCCCCUCUAACGGGAUUCAUGGGGACCUGAGGGAGGGGCCUCCAGGGUGGCAACAGGCCCUGCCCUACCCUGGGUGCCAGAGUCUCUGGGCAAUCAGCCCACCAGGAUGGCUCUGUCCCUCCUCCACCCCUUGCCCAGCCCACCCAAAGCCAAGGAAGAAGGGGAGGGCUGGGGGCCAGGGCUUCCAGCUGGAGAGGGAGCAGAGCAACAGGCAGACGCUGUCCUAUUCCUGACGGGGCCUCGGGCUACCACCAGGCCUGGCCCAGAGCGCCUCUAGCCUCAGGUCUUUGGCCGCCUUCCCCAGGGCCGGGGCUGUCAGAGCUAAUUAUCCAAUUAGCUGAUUAGCUAGGGGACCUGGGGGCUGCCUGGGGAGGCAGGCUCAGCUGGGCUUGCAAAAGCCUGGGCCCUCCAGCCCUGCCCUAGCCCCUUUCUCCCGGAUUGGCCUCAAGGAGCCAGCGUCUUGUCUUCCCUCCCGCCCGUGAUGCCCCUGCCCCUGCCUCUUCCCCCUGUGCCCACAUCCACCUCGCAGGUCGAGCCUCCUACCUGAGACUGCUGUGGGAUGUUCAGAAAGUUGCCGUCCCGGGGUCCGAUGCUGACAAACCGGUUGGCAGAGGAGGCGCCUGUCGUUGCGAAUGCUGUGGGGAGCAGGGAAGAGAGGGAGAGACCCCGUGAGGCCUUGGGGCCUGCCUGGGCACUGCCCUUUGGGGCUGCUGAGAGAGGGAGAGACUGGAUUAGACCACGCUGCCAGGGCUUAGGCUGGCCGUGGGAAGGACAGGCCAGAGGGGGUCCCAUCUCCCGCUCACUGACCAGGAGCACACACUGUCCCCCACCCCUAGCAUUCCACCUCAGCCAGAUGUCCUCUCUCCUGGCCCAGGGUGUGGGAGGGGCCCUGGAGGCUUUAGCUUGAGGUCCCAUAGACCCUGUUGUGUCCCCAAAGCAGGCACCAAGCAGGACUGAGGCUAGCCCUCGUUGAAGCAAGGCACCCGUGCUUUCCCACGGACUCUCUUGGGUCUUGGGAAGAGGGAGCCUGGGAGGGCGGGAUGCUGGGGGCUCAGCCGGACCGGCCCCACCCUGCUCAGGGAAAGCUGGCUCAGCCAGGCCUCCUCUCCGACCAGGGCAGCUGGGCCGGUGCUGCAUCACAGAACCACGCCGGGCAGUCCCAAGGAUGGGGCUGAUGGCUCAGGGAACUUGCAGGGGUCCAGUGGAGGGCUGAGUUGGCUGGGACAGGGGCAGAGAGAGGACCUGGCUGCCAGCUUGGACCCAGCAGGCGUCCUCCUCUGAUGCAUGAGCCAGAGCCUGUGGUCCCGCGGUCCCCAGGGCCUGACACAGGCUGUAGCACAGGAGGAGGUGGCAAAGCCCCAGGGCUUGGGUGCCCAUGAGCAGUUCUGGAGCCUGAGGGGCAAACGGGCAGCCCAACACCCCUGAGCUCUUCUCGGGUUUUCUGGCUGGAACCCUAUGGGAGGGAAUGGGUUGUGCACCCCCAGCAGGGUGGAUGUCCCCAGAAGGAACAAGAGUGUCACAGGCUGCCAGGGAUUCCCCCCCAACACACACCCUCUACCAGAUACACCCCAGGGACUGCAUGCUCACCAGAUACUGUCCAGGGCCCCCCCCCAACCCCGCCCCAGCCACUCUGCCGCCUGGCGCCUCCUCUCCCACCCUGCCCACCUCCAAUGACCAUGACCAUGACUUCGUGUCUUAUGGCGGAUGCAGAUGGGAAGAUGGCAUGAAGAGGAUGGAGAGGGGAAAAGAACUCAAACCAUGAGAAAGAAGGCAACAGAGAGCGCAAGACGGAGGAAAGUGAGAUGGGCCGCCCCUCCCACUGCGGACCAGGCAGUCCUGGCCUGGGGUCUGCCGGCCCCCAGCGCGCCCGAAGCGCAGCCCACCCUCUGCCCACAGACGGCACACCGCCCACCCUCCACCUCUCCUGUCCUUCACGCGUCGGGUCUACCUUGGGCCUCUCAACUCAGAUUUUUUUUUCCCUUUAACAAAAUUUGUCAUUGGUUAAAAGAGAGAGAGAGAGGAAGAGAAAGAGAUGAAGUAAGCCGAGGCCCAGAGCCCUCCCUUGUCCUUGGAACAGUCAACCUGGGAAAGGGAGAGGGAUGGGAGGAGGAAAAAAAAAA